UGACAAAGUAUAUAUAUUCAGAUAACAAUUCACAUUCAAAAAUGUAUUUCUAAUAUUUUAAACUCAUUUUUUUUUCAUGUUUCAUUCCUGUAUGUUUCCUAAGGAGGCAAAGUUAAGGUGAAUAACCUGGACACUGUCCUGGAAAACUUGGGAAUCAAGCUCACACAAAAGGAACACGAAGAUGUGACAGAAAAUCUACCACUUACCGCUAAUGGGAAGGUUGAGCUCAGCACAUUGAUGGAUGCAGUGGCCACUGUUACAGGAGGAGAAGUUAAUGUCAGUGAUAUUCAAAGUAUCCUGGAGAAAAUGGGGUUAGAGCUCACAGAUAAGGAGUGCUCAAAACUAAAGAAAUAUCUGCCAGUCAAUGCUGUUGGAAAGGUGUACCAAAAUAGGUUGAUGGAUGGUGUAAAAACCCUUAAAGG